UACGUAGGGGCUAGCGUUAUCCGGAAUUACUGGGCGUAAAGGGUGCGUAGGUGGUUUCUUAAGUCAGAGGUGAAAGGCCACGGCUCAACCGUAGUAAGCCUUUGAAACUGGGAAACUUGAGUGCAGGAGAGGAGAGUGGAAUUCCUAGUGUAGCGGUGAAAUGCGUAGAUAUUAGGAGGAAUACCAGUUGCGAAGGCGGCUCUCUGGACUGUAACUGACACUGAGGCACGAAAGCGUGGGGAGCAAACAGGAUUAGAUACCCUGGUAGUCCCUGAG
rnacentral:rRNA from 1 species